AGAAAAGAAAGAACAAGAACCCUAGGGUGAAAAUUCAAGAGAAAAAUUGGUGGAUUUCAAGUAAUCAAGCAAUCAAAGGUAAAAUUUCUUGAUUUUGACUUGUGAUCUACCUUUCCCAUGCAUUCUUUUGCAUUUUCCAUGGUUGAAUCACAUGAUUUCAUGAUAGGUAUCUUGCUGGCUAAGCACUUAGAGAGAGGUUUUUAUGCUUGAUUUGGUUAGAUUUCAAUGUAUUUUAGUGUUUUUAGUUGAUUGGUGAUGUGUAGCAUGAAAAUCAAGCAAGAAAAAUUCACGUUCUUCCGUCACCCAUCAUUGGCUGAAUUCUCCAUGUGGAAUAUUGAGGAUGAUUUUGCCAUAUUUCAAGUUAUUUAAUUUGUGUUUGAUGAUUUGGAGUAUUGGAAGAAAAAUGGAAUUAUUUGGAGUUGAAUUGGAUGUAUUGGCCAAUUAAUCGAGUGAUAGAUCGAAUUAGGCUAAUACCGUUUUAUUUAGGUACAUAAUUGAAUUUAUAUUGAACACCAUAUUUAGAUAGUUACCUGAGUAUUUCAUAUCCCAUUUCAUGCAUUAGUAUAGAGCCUAAAUUGGUUUUAUAACAAUUUAGCACAACUGUAGUAAAUGGCUUAUUGUGCAUUAUGUCUAGGUGGUGAGUAUUCUGGUAAAAGUAAAGAGAUAGUACCCGAGGAUCAAGAAUCGGAGUACUCAAAAUAGUAAUCGAGGAUCAAAAAUCGGAGUACUCAGAAUUCAACUCCCGAAAUAGUGAGUAACCUUACUAUCGUCUUAAUUAUCUAAAGUGAUUUUAUCCGAUUUUGUGAUUUUAUGGAAAAUGAGUUUAAAUGGUAAAUCUUUAUGUUUUAUAAGAAAAAUGAGAUUAAAUGGAAAUGAUUUUAAAAAAUUGUCUUGAGAUUGAAUGAUGGUUUUGAAAAUAGAGUAAUUGGAGACUGUUUUCAUGUGUUGUAAAUUCAUGGUUUAAAUCGAAUGGCUUAUGACAAUAUUUGCAUGAAUGGCUGAAUUGGUAAAUGUGCUGAAAAUAUAUGAACUGUGUAUUUAGCCUUGAGAGGCUAGAUUGUGAUAUAAUUGCCAUGUCAUGCGGUUGAGAUUUUAUUGAAUUGGUAGGUUUAGCUUGCUACAGUGGGUGGGUUCCGUGGACCAGCCUAUUAGAGGGGCACGGUAAGCCUGUUAUAUUUUUACCUCUGUCGGAGAUGCGUGUAGGGUAACUCCCAAGGUACACUUCUAGAGUUCACUUCACGCCAAACCACCACGUGAGGGAGAACUCAGCCAACGCCAAGGAACGGCUAUGUUUUCAGAAUAAAAACAUGAUUUAUGCAUAUAUGACUUUUUAACAGCCUUGGCGGACUUGGUUGGGAUAACCCUCAGCCAAGGUAUCCUUGAUAACUGAGUAUGAGAAUGAUUUUGGCAUGAGCCAAAGUUUUAAGAAAUUCAUAAGCCAUGUCGGUUACUCGAUUUAUAUGAAUUGAUUUUAUUUGGUUGAAAUGAGUUAAAAGGUGAUGAAUUACAGUAUGUUAAACUAUUUUAUCUGUCUCCAUUUACUCAGCUUUAGAUAUUUUAGAUGGUAUUUGUUUACUCACUGGGAUUAUAUAAUCUCACCACCUUCUUUUCCACCCAUUUCAGGCUCAGGAUAGUCGGUAGAUAGCUCACUUUGUUGAGGGCUACAAUUGGACUUGCAUCCUAAAAAACUGUAGGUUUACCGCUUUUGAUACUUUUGGUCGUUCGUGGGCCAACGUGUCACUGUAAAUUAAAUUUUAUACUUUGGUUAUCUGUAUUACAAUAUGUAUGAGUUUAUUUAGUUUUUACGCUACAAAAAUUAUUUACCGAUA
rnacentral:lncRNA from 1 species